UGAGAGUAAGACGAGUCCUCCUUAUUUAUUCGGUUUUCCUAUAUUUUUUUGAGUGUUUUUAUUGUGCUGAAUUAGUAAAUGUGUCAUGUGAUAUUCUGUGUUUCUUUUUAUUAACUUGUGUGAUUUUAGUGGAAGAAUUUAUGAGAACUUAACGAAAUUUUGGAUGUUCUAUUAAUGCAUAUUUAGUUGCCCCCGUAAGAGUGAAAGAGAAAGAAAUAUAUGUUCAUAAGUGUACGAGAAAGACGAAGGUAGCGAUUGGUGGACGCGCGAUCUAUUUUGAAGAGGAG